rnacentral:rRNA from 1 species
AGCGAACGCUGGCGGCAGGCCUAACACAUGCAAGUCGAACGAACCCUUCGGGGUUAGUGGCGGACGGGUGAGUAACACGUGGGAACGUGCCUUUAGGUUCGGAAUAACUCAGGGAAACUUGUGCUAAUACCGAAUGUGCCCUUCGGGGGAAAGAUUUAUCGCCUUUAGAGCGGCCCGCGUCUGAUUAGCUGGUCGGUGAGGCAAUGGCUCAACAAGGCUACGAUCAGUAGCGGGUCUGAGAGGAUGACCAGCCACAUUGGGACUGAGACGCGGCCCAAACUCCUACGGGAGGCAGCAGUGGGGAAUUUUGCGCAAUGGGCGAAAGCCUGACGCAGCCAUGCCGCGUGGAUGAUGAAGGUCGUAGGAUUGUAAAAUCCUUUCACCGGUGAAGAUAAUGACUGUAGCCGGAGAAGAAGCCCCGGCUAACUUCGUGCCAGCCGCCGCAGUAAUAC